ACCUUUCUGUGCAGCUGUCAUACUUGCAGUGUUGAGCUCCUCCAUACUAGCAUUUAAGAUGUUUCCGUGGGAUGCCUCGCUGCCUGAGAGGGCAGCGUAAAUCAGUCUUCAACUCGUGACAGUCGGAAAACUAUGGCCUUGGAUAUUGAAACUCCAGGUGAUGCAAUGAA